GUGCUCACUUUGGCAGCACAUAUAGUAAGAUUGGAACGAUACAGAGAAGACUAGCUUGGCCCCUGAAAGCAUGACAUGAAAAUUCCUGAAGUGUUUCAUCUUUUU